GAGAAAAUAUACAGAAGUUGUCCAGGAAAGAAAAAAAUGAAUUGCAGGAUGGUUACUGUGAAGGCUUCACUUUCAUUUCCAAUGCUGCUCGAUGGGGGCAGCAGUUUCUUUUGGAAAUAUUAGUGGUGGAUUGUAAUCUUGACCCCAAAAAACCAGAUCUUCAUUACGCUGCAUGUGGGCAAACAGAAAUGGUUAUGACUCUAGUAGAAACAUACGAUUGUCCACUUUAAACUAUUGAUGACUGCAAUUCGACUCCACUCUGUCUUGCUAUCAUGAACGGUAAAGUCGAUACUGCUAAAACCCUCAUUGAUCUUGGUGCUCAACUGGACGUGGAGAACAUUUAUGGUACGCCGUUACAUAUUGCUGGAUUUGGUGCGAAUCUUGAUGGAGUGAAGCUGAUGUAUGAGAAGUAUCCUGAG